rnacentral:misc_RNA from 1 species
GAUGAAGAACGUAGCGAAAUGCGAUAAGUAAUGUGAAUUGCAGAAUUCAGUGAAUCAUCGAAUCUUUGAACGCUCCUUGCGCCCUUUGGCUAUUCCGAAGGGCAUGCCUGUUUGAGUAUCAUGAACACCUCAACUCUCAUGGUUUGCCAUGAUGAGCUUGGACUUUGGGGGUCUUGCCGGCCUAUGGGUCGGCUCCUCUCAAAUUAAUCAGCUUGCCAGUGUUUGGUGGCAUCACAGGUGUGAUAACUAUCUACGCUUGUGGUUUUCCAUCAGGUAACCUUCAGUGAUGGAGGUUCGCUGGGGCUCAUAAAUGUCUCUCCUCAGUGAGGACAGCUUUUUUGUACGUUUGAUCUCAAAUCAGGUAGGACUACCCGCUGAACUUAAGCAUAUCAAUAAGCGGAGGA